GUAGGUGGCAAGCGUUGUCCGGAAUUAUUGGGCGUAAAGCGCGCGCAGGCGGUUCUUUAAGUCUGAUGUGAAAGCCCACGGCUCAACCGUGGAGGGUCAUUGGAAACUGGAGAACUCGAGUACAGAAGAGGAAAGCGGAAUUCCACGUGUAGCGGUGAAAUGCGUAGAGAUGUGGAGGAACACCAGUGGCGAAGGCGGCUUUCUGGUCUGUAACUGACGCUGAGGCGCGAAAGCGUGGGGAGCAAACAGGGAUUAGAUACCCUGGUAGUCCACGCCGUAAACGAUGAGUGCUAAGUGUUAGGGGGGUUUCCGCCCCCUUAGUGCUGCAGCUAACGCAUUAAGCACUCCGCCUGGGGAGUACGGCCGCAAGGCUG
rnacentral:rRNA from 1 species